CCUACGGUAGGCAGCAGUGGGGAAUAUUGGACAAUGGGCGAAAGCCUGAUCCAGCCAUGCCGCGUGUGUGAAGAAGGCCUUCGGGUUGUAAAGCACUUUCAGUGGGGAAGAAAGCCUUGGGGCUAAUACCCUCGAGGAAGGACAUCACCCACAGAAGAAGCACCGGCUAACUCCGUGCCAGCAGCCGCGGUAAUACGGAGGGUGCGAGCGUUAAUCGGAAUUACUGGGCGUAAAGCGCGCGUAGGCGGUCUGAUAAGCCGGUUGUGAAAGCCCCGGGCUCAACCUGGGAACGGCAUCCGGAACUGUCAGGCUAGAGUGCAGGAGAGGAAGGUAGAAUUCCCGGUGUAGCGGUGAAAUGCGUAGAGAUCGGGAGGAAUACCAGUGGCGAAGGCGGCCUUCUGGACUGACACUGACGCUGAGGUGCGAAAGCGUGGGUAGCAAACAGGAUUAGAUACCCCUGUAGUC
rnacentral:rRNA from 1 species